rnacentral:rRNA from 1 species
GUCGACGGGAGAAUUGCUAGCUUGCUAAUAAUUCUCUAGUGGCGCACGGGUGAGUAACACGUGAGUAACCUGCCCCCAAGAGUGGGAUAGCCCCGGGAAACUGGGAUUAAUACCGCAUAAAAUCGCAAGAUUAAAGCAGCAAUGCGCUUGGGGAUGGGCUCGCGUCCUAUUAGUUAGUUGGUGAGGUAACGGCUCACCAAGGCGAUGACGGGUAGCCGGUCUGAGAGGAUGUCCGGCCACACUGGAACUGAGACACGGUCCAGACACCUACGGGUGGCAGCAGUCGAGAAUCAUUCACAAUGGGGGAAACCCUGAUGGUGCGACGCCGCGUGGGGGAAUGAAGGUCUUCGGAUUGUAAACCCCUGUCAUGUGGGAGCAAAUUAAAAAGAUAGUACCACAAGAGGAAGAGACGGCUAACUCUGUGCCAGCAGCCGCGGUAAUACAGAGGUCUCAAGCGUUGUUCGGAAUCACUGGGCGUAAAGCGUGCGUAGGCGGUUUCGUAAGUCGUGUGUGAAAGGCGGGGGCUCAACCCCCGGACUGCACAUGAUACUGCGAGACUAGAGUAAUGGAGGGGGAACCGGAAUUCUCGGUGUAGCAGUGAAAUGCGUAGAUAUCGAGAGGAACACUCGUGGCGAAGGCGGGUUCCUGGACAUUAACUGAC